AUCGGUUUUAAUAAUGUUCAUAGUAAAAAAAUAUCUGUUCAGUAGUUACAGUUGGAACUGAAAGAAUCAGUACAAGUUAAACUAAUAGGUAAAGAAGUGAAUAUAUUUAUGAUUUUCUUGUUGCCACCAACCAUUGACAUAACUUAGAAAUACUUGUCAAUUUUUAUAAGUCUGAAUGUUGCAAAAUUUCAAAUUCAUAAUAACAAAACUCUAUUCUC
rnacentral:lncRNA from 1 species